rnacentral:rRNA from 1 species
UACAGAGGUGGCAAGCGUUGUUCGGAAUUACUGGGCGUAAAGGGCGCGUAGGCGGCCUUGUAAGUCCUGUGUGAAAUCCCCCGGCUCAACUGGGGAACUGCACAGGAGACUGCUUGGCUUGAGUCCGGAAGAGGCGAGUGGAAUUCCUGGUGUAGCGGUGAAAUGCGCAGAUAUCAGGAGGAACACCAAUGGCGAAGGCAGCUCGCUGGGACGGUACUGACGCUGAGGCGCGAAAGCGUGGGGAGCAAACAGG